CCCUAGUAACUGCGAGUGAAGCGGGAUGAGCUCAAAUUUUGAAUCUGGCGGUCUUUGGCCGUCCGAGUUGUAAUCUAGAGAAGCGUCUUCCGCGCUGGCCCGUGUACAAGUCUCCUGGAAAGGAGCGUCAUAGAGGGUGAGAAUCCCGUCUUUGACACGGACUACCAGUGCUAUGUGAUGCGCUCUCGACGAGUCGAGUUGUUUGGGAAUGCAGCUCAAAAUGGGUGGUAAAUUCCAUCUAAAGCUAAAUACAGGCGAGAGACCGAUAGCGAACAAGUACCGUGAGGGAAAGAUGAAAAGAACUUUGGAAAGAGAGUUAAACCGUACGUGAAAUUGCUGAAAGGGAAACGCUUGAUGUCAGUCGCGUCGGCCGGGGAUCAACCUCGCUUUUCGCUGGGUGUACUUCCUGGUCGACGGGUCAGCAUCGGUUUCGGUCGCCGUACAAGGGCGAGGGGAACGUGGCACUCUCCGGAGUGUGUUAUAGCCCUUCGUCGCAUGCGGUGGUCGGGACCGAGGAACUCGGCACGGCUUCGGUCUGUGCUUAGGAUGCUGGCAUAAUGGCCUUAAGCGACCCGUCUUGAAACACGGACCAAGGAGUCUAACAUGCCUGCGAGUGUUUGGGUGGCAAACUCGAGCGCGAAAUGAAAGUGAAAGUCGAGACCUCUGUCGUGGAGGGCACCGACGCCCGGACCCGAGUCUUUGACGAAGGAUCUGCGGUAGAGCAUGCAUGUUGGGACCCGAAAGAUGGUGAACUAUGCCUGAAUAGGGUGAAGCCAGAGGAAACUCUGGUGGAGGCUCGUAGCGAUUCUGACGUGCAAAUCGAUCGUCGAAUUUGGGUAUAGGGGGCGAAAGACUAAUCGAACC
rnacentral:rRNA from 1 species